UGCGGAUGAGUGGGGAAUCGGGUCAUGUUAAAGGGAGGGGGAAAAGCGUGCGAGGAUAUUUAGAUGAGGGAAAAGAACGCCGCCGUAGAACAAUUUGGAACGCAAGUAAACGUUGCCUUAUAGCGACCUCAAAGCCCAUCUUGGGGUGUCCUCAAUUACGGGCGGCCUGUACAUGUCAACUAAAAGGUUCUUCUGAUGCCAUUGUCUGCUGCUUGGCAACCAAACGGCAGGAUGCUAAUGAUGCCCUAGUGGCACUAUGCCAUCUGGAACCCAGCUACUAGGAUUCCUCCGGGACUUGGGCAUCUCAACAAUGGAGCGACAAGGAAAACAAAA